CACGUAGGGGGCGAGCGUUGUCCGGAUUUAUUGGGCGUAAAGAGCUCGUAGGCGGUUUCGUAAGUCGGAUGUGAAAACUCCAGGCUCAACUUGGAGACGCCAUUCGAUACUGCGAUGACUUGAGUCCGGUAGGGGAGUGUGGAAUUCCUGGUGUAGCGGUGAAAUGCGCAGAUAUCAGGAAGAACACCCGUGGCUAAGGCGGCUCUCUAGUACGGUACUGACGCUGAGACGCGAAAGCGUGGGGAGCGAACAGG
rnacentral:rRNA from 1 species